GGUGUCAGUGCACUGGAAGUUGCUGGAUGAGGUCUUGCUUGGUUAUAUUCAGUCGCUCACUUGGUGAAGUUUUUGGUAUCUUUUGGUCGAGGUUACCAGAGCAGCUGUAUGAGGACCUGGGGUCUUCUCCUACAAAGACCUGGUACCGCGAUGGGAGAUGAUGAGGUGCCUGAACUGUGAGAAGGACUGCAUGAUGGCCAUGGUCCCUUUCUGCCUGUACAACACCUUUGCAGUGCUACUGUAUGGGCAACUCACCUCCUCUCUCGCCUUGGCCAACCUUUAUUAGCUCUGUGCCCAUUAAACCUGACCUGAGCGCUCAUUCUGCAUGGAGACACUUAAUUGCAUGGUACCGUGGGUGCCAGUCCUCCAUGGGGUAACUAAUAAGCGCUGGUUCCUGAGGAGACUAUGCAUGAACUGCAUAUGAACUGUAAAACUUUCCCUCUUUUUCACUCCUCUCAGUUCCGCUCAUUAUUUUAAUCACCUCAGAAAUGAUGCUCUCUGAAUUAAACCCACGUCUGAAAAUGUGUGUGUCUUGUGUAACUUUACAAAUAAGAAUGAAAUAUGAAAGCGUUCCUUCUUCAUAAAUUAUUCCAAUAAGUGUAAUGUUAAAUGGUUUACAAAUAAUCAGUAAUUACUUCAUUUCAGUUUUCGGGAAAUGUAUGAAUCUGGAUGUGCAAUCAAACUGGGGAAUUAUUUUUAAAACAUGUAUAGUUUUAAAAGAAUAACAAGACUAAAGAUGUAUUUCCAGUGUAA